GACGAACGCUGGCGGCGUGCUUAACACAUGCAAGUCGAGCGGUAAGGCCCUUUCGGGGGUACACGAGCGGCGAACGGGUGAGUAACACGUGGGUGACCUGCCCUCAGCUCUGGGAUAAGCCUGGGAGACCGGGUCUAAUACUGGAUAUGACUCCAUGACGCAUGUUGUGGGGUGGAAAGCCUUGUGCGGCUGAGGAUGGGCCCGCGGCCUAUCAGCUUGUUGGUGGGGNGAUGGCCUACCAAGGCGACGACGGGUAGCCGGCCUGAGAGGGCGACCGGCCACACUGGGACUGAGACACGGCCCAGACUCCUACGGGAGGCAGCAGUGGGGAAUCUUGCGCAAUGGGCGAAAGCCUGACGCAGCGACGCCGCGUGAGGGAUGACGG
rnacentral:rRNA from 1 species